rnacentral:rRNA from 2 species
UGCGUAGGCGGCUUGGUAGGUGAGAUGUGAAAGCCCACGGCUCAACCGUGGAAUUGCGUUUCAAACCCCCAAGCUCGAGGAAGAUAGGGGUGAUGGGAACUUAUGGUGGAGCGGUGAAAUGCGUUGAUAUCAUAGGGAACACCGGUGGCGAAAGCGCAUCACUGGAUCUUUUCUGACGCUGAGGCACGAAAGCUAGGGUAGCGAACG